ensembl:lncRNA LINC01255 long intergenic non-protein coding RNA 1255
AAGCUGGGGCAUUCGCCUUUGGUGUUCUGUGCCGCUGUAUAAAGAGUCUGACCAUCCUAAGACCACCAUGUUGUGAGGAGCCCAAGCCACAUGGAGAGGUCACAUAGAUGUUCCAGUGACAGCCCCAAAUGAGGGUCUGCUGACAACCAGCAUCAGCCACCACACACACAGAUGAUAACAUCUCCAGGACUCUAGUUCCCAGAUGCCUGCAUAUCCCCAGGCUCUGAAUCCUCCAGCGGAGGCCCAGACAUUGUGGAGUACAUGCAACCCAUGCCAGCCCUGUCAUGUCCUGUCUGAAUUCCUCACCCACAGUAGUCAGAGCAUAUAAAAUGGUUGUUCUAUGCCACUACAUUUUGGAGUUGUUGGUUUCCCAGCAGCACAAAAUGGAACAGAGGCUUAAGUUUACUCUUACCCUAGAAUUCCAGGAGAUCCUACUGUAUUCUCUUUUAGUCUUCUGUAGAUUUUGAGGAUUUCUACUAGGUUGUGAGGAUUUCUAUCACUUGCUGUCAAACCACUGAAAUUCAUAUUAAAUUGGUAUUCAAAAUGGGGUUGCAGAGAAAAAGUGUCAGAGUGGAUUGGGACCAGCAAGAAGUUAUUGUCCUGGGAUAGAGAGCUGCAAUGCACGUUUAACGAUAGCAGUAUGUCUUGUUCCUUGGGAAUCAGAUGUCUUACUUCAUCAGAUAGCUAGACUUUAGAGGAAUUCAUCAUUUUAAAUGUCAGAAUAUCAGAUUGAGUUAUCGAUUCCUUAUGGCCUUCAGUAAAGGUCAGAGAAGUGGCAAGCCUCAGCCGACGCUGCUCCAUGGAAGUCACCAGAAGAGAAUAGAGGACAGCCCACUGACGCAGAGAAUCAGAGCACAGCAUCCACUAUUAGUUUGGACAAACUGUGGUGGCCACCAGGGGUGUAUGUGUGUGAGAGAGAGAGAGAUUAUGAACUGAUUGAAAAACUGAAGAUUACCAGCAACUGGAAUGAGGAUAUAUAGGAAGGAGGAGCCAGAAAUGUGAGCAAGCCCUUCAGAAUGUACCUUCUCCACCACCAAGUGAAAAUGAAGAUUCCUCCCCUUGUAAUACUCGGUUGGCUGUGAUGCAACAUUUUGGCAAGACUCCAAAGCAGAUUUGCGAAGAAAUGCACCCUGAAACCCAUGCCAAUACUCCAAUCUAUAAUAUCCUGCUCAUGCUCUGAGGUCAUUAAGGAAAAAAAUCAUGAAAAUAGGUGGAGCCCCAGAAUUUCCUCUAAAAAUCAGAAGACUCACAGAGAGAAUCUCCGAGAUGCUCUGGAAGAACAAUGGCCAAGCAAAAUUCUCCCGGAGGACAGAGUCUGUGGCAGUCUUUCUGGGUGACCAGGAACUUUUCAAAUGUAGAGGAGCCUUUAGAAGGAAGCCUUGAGCAUGAGGACAGACCCCCCUCAUCCAACCACCACCUGACUCUGUGUGAACCUGGAACUGUUAGAAUGUCUGUGCUGUGAUAAAAGGUCAUCUCCCUACAAUGUUAUGAUACAGACCUCAAACCUACAAACAUGAGGAACUUCUGCCUCCAGGUUAACUGCUUACCCACUGUACAAGACACGUUACACACAGUCCAGGAGGCGGAGCUUCUGAGAUAUCUAGAAACAGCUUAGAGGCAAAAUGACAAAAUAAAGCAGCAACAACAAAUAAAACCAAUCUUCUCGAACUG